rnacentral:tRNA from 1 species
GGGAAUGUGGCUUAGUGGUAGAGUGCUUGCCUAGCAUGCAUGAAGCCCUAGGUUUAAUUCCUCAGUACCA